rnacentral:rRNA from 1 species
AUACGGAAGGUCCGGGCGUUAUCCGGAUUUAUUGGGUUUAAAGGGAGCGCAGGCGGAGAUGCAAGCGUGACGUCAAAUUUCGGGGCUCAACCCCGUCUCGCGUCGCGAACUGCGUCCCUUGGUUGCGGGAAGGGGAGGCGGAACUCGUGGUGUAGCGGUGAAAUGCAUAGAUAUCACGAAGAACUCCGAUCGCGAAGGCAGCCUUCCGUCCCGGCAACGACGCUCAUGCUCGAAGGUGCGGGUAGCAAACAGGAUUAGAUACCCUGGUAGUCCGCACAGUAAACGAUGGACACCCGCGGUUUGGCCUGUAUGGCUGAGCCGCCAAGCGAAAGCGUUAAGUGUCCCACCUGGGGAGUACGCCGGCAACGGUGAAACUUAAAGGAAUUGACGGGG